rnacentral:rRNA from 1 species
UACGGGGGGGGCAAGCGUUGUUCGGAAUUACUGGGCGUAAAGGGCUCGUAGGUGGCCAACUAAGUCAGACGUGAAAUCCCUCGGCUUAACCGGGGAACUGCGUCUGAUACUGGAUGGCUUGAGUUUGGGAGAGGGACGCGGAAUUCCAGGUGUAGCGGUGAAAUGCGUAGAUAUCUGGAGGAACACCGGUGGCGAAGGCGGCGUUCUGGACGGCAUCUGACACUGAGAAACGAAAGCCAGGGGAGCAAACGGG